rnacentral:lncRNA from 1 species
GUAGGAACUUUUUACAGUUAGGACUUGCUCUUCGGAGGUCUGAGGGUGGGGUGACCACAGUCACACAGCUCUUCCACCUGUUGGCAGAUCCUGCGGCACAGCUGGAAUCCCUCCUUCUGCGGAGAAACCUGAGCUCUGGGAAAAGGAGAUGGAUGACCUCAUUGCUGUAAGCGGCGCCCAUCGCUGCAGUUUCCUCUCUGGUCACUAGAUGGCCACACCGACCAGGCACCAGCACCUAAGGGAGGAGGGGUCGUUACUGAGAUUAGAAGCUGCAGGCAGUUUUAGGGAAAGGACGCCAGCUCCGCCGAAGCACACACCCAGCAAAGCUGUUUUUGUCCGAGAAUCUAGCGGUUGUUCGGUUCACGAGGCUGAUAUCUCAGCUGGUCUUUAGUAGAUGCCAGAAUCCGGAAGAAAUAAGCUCUAAUGCCAGAGAGAGAAAGCAGGCAAAAAGCAAGCUUUCUUCUUCGCUGUGGACUGCAGACAGAAGGAUCAGCAAGAUGGUAACCAUCCUUGCCGCCAAGCCUGAUGACCUGACUUCAAUCCCCGGGACCCACGUAGUAGGAGAAAACUCACUCCAGAAGGUCGUCCCUGAUCUUCAUUUGAGCUUUUCAGAUAAGUUAAUGUUUUUUUAUUUUUAAAGUGUUUGCAUAAGAAGAGAAUAGCACAAGAAAUAGCUCUCAAUGGAGGUUAUCUUGUUCCCCAUGACACCAUGGCAAUGCCUGGAGAUACUACUAUUUUUGUCACAACUGGGACAUGUUGUGGAAUAGAGUAUUUGUUUAACUAUGUAAAGAUGUGUUGCUGUUUCACCUUGCUUACUUAAGGCACCUGAUUGAUCUAAUAAAAAGCUGAACAACCAAUAGUUAGGGAAAGGAGGGGUAGGCAGGGCUGGUGGUCAAAGAGAAAGAGGGAGCCAGCCAGCCAGGGGCCAGCAAACCAGAAAUGGAGGAAGCAAGAAAGCAGGAUGCACAGUACGUAGAUGAGGUAAACAAGCCUCAGGCAGCCUUAAAUUAGUAGAAAUGGGUUACUUUUUUUUUUAAAGCUAGCUAGAAACAAGAUAAGGCUGGGCAUUUAUAAUAAGUCUGUGUCAUGAUUUGGGGCUGGAGGUCCAAGAAAGCCUGCUACAGGGGCAGAGACGCUGUUAACAAAUGGGUGGUCAGGGAUGCUGAACACUCUCCAGAGGCAAGAUAGUCUCCCAACACGCCCACUAAUAGCCCAGGCCUGUCCAACCCAACCCAGUGUGGACCAAGAUUUUCCUAUACUCAUUAUUCUUACUCGUUGUUCACGAAUUUUCAUAUUUCAUAUGACAUCAUGAUCUACAAUGACAUUCUCAUGAUAUUAAAGUUAGUCUUAAAAAAGAAUGAGUCCUUAUUUCUGGCCCAUGAAUCAAAUCUGACAUUUCAAAAGCUUAAAAUAAGAAGUUACCACUGUUGAGAGAGAAUUCCUCAUCCGAGCAAGAGACACCAGUUUUGUUCAAAGUUGUCUGUGUUAACAGCCGGCCUUGGGGUGAAGCAGCUGCUCUGUGAUAGCGGCUGAAGCCGUGUGUGGAUGUGUAUUGUUGACAUGGGCACAGCCAUAUCCAGGACUCCAAUGCCUCAGCCCCAUGGGAAUGGGAAGCCUUACGAGGCUCAAAGAGAUGGCAAAACUUUCCUCAGAGUCCAAAUGAAUGAGUGAGCAGUGUGUGUAAGGACUAGCAACUGACAUUUCCUCCUCCUCUGAUGUUUAGGGCUGAGGCUGCUCACCUACAGAGACCUCCUACCCAGAGUACAGUACAUGACCCUCCCCAAGUGCUGUGCCUAAUAAACACGCCGAGGCUCAAGUUUCUGGUUGUAGUGGGCAUCCUCCAUCAGAAUGGGGAUACUUCCACCUUAUCCCAGCUUCCGUGUGUGUGUGUGUGUGUGUGUGUGUGUGUGUGUGUGUGUGUGUGUCUUCUUUGUUCUCUCUCUGCCCCUGGUCAGGGUUCCAGAAUCCAAGCCACAUGGAUUUGUGACUCUGUCCAAAGAAAAGUAUCCAACCAGGCAGUGGUGGUACAUGCCUUUAACCCCAGCACUGGGGAGGCAGAGGCCAGCAGAUCUAUGAGUUCAAGGCCAGCCUAGUCUAAAGAGCGAGUUCCAGGACAGAGGAAAAUACCCAAAAACUGUGCUGGUAGCAAAUGCCUUUAAUCCAAAGAUACAGGCAAGUGGAUCUUGGUGAGUUCAAGGCCAACCUGAUCUACAUAGUGAAUUCCAGGCCAGCCAGUGCUACACAGAGUCCCAAAAUGGGAACAAAGACUUAUUUCUCUUAGAUUCUGAGUAAACGGCAAUCAUUGGGUCUUUGCUACCCAAGGUUGAAGUGGUUGGUUCCUUUCCUCUUGCGUGGUCUCAUUUUUAGACUUUCCAUAGACUUUUCCUGUUUACUGGAAAUACCCAGACCCACCUGACCCCAGCAGUGUCCCACCCUGCAACUCUAGGUGAAAGCCUCUAUACAAAAAUAAGCAUUUAAAAGAUGGAUUAUCCAGCCCAUCCUAGGUCUGGACUAUUGUAGCUACUGGCUUGACAGCU